AGCGAACGCUGGCGGCAGGCUUAACACAUGCAAGUCGAGCGGGCGUAGCAAUACGUCAGCGGCAGACGGGUGAGUAACGCGUGGGAACGUACCUUUUGGUUCGGAACAACACAGGGAAACUUGUGCUAAUACCGGAUAAGCCCUUACGGGGAAAGAUUUAUCGCCGAAAGAUCGGCCCGCGUCUGAUUAGCUAGUUGGUAGGGUAACGGCCUACCAAGGCGACGAUCAGUAGCUGGUCUGAGAGGAUGAUCAGCCACAUUGGGACUGAGACACGGCCCAAACUCCUACGGGAGGCAGCAGUGGGGAAUAUUGGACAAUGGGCGCAAGCCUGAUCCAGCCAUGCCGCGUGAGUGAUGAAGGCCCUAGGGUUGUAAAGCUCUUUUGUGCGGGAAGAUAAUGACGGUACCGCAAGAAUAAGCCCCGGCCAACUUCGUGCCAGCAGCCGCGGUAAUACGAAGGGGGCUAGCGUUGCUCGGAAUCACUGGGCGUAAAGGGUGCGUAGGCGGGUCUUUAAGUCAGGGGUGAAAUCCUGGAGCUCAACUCCAGAACUGCCUUUGAUACUGAAGAUCUUGAGUUCGGGAGAGGUGAGUGGAACUGCGAGUGUAGAGGUGAAAUUCUUAGAUAUUCGCAAGAACACCAGUGGCGAAUGCGGCUCACUGGCCCGAUACUGACGCUGAGGCUCGAAAGCGUGGGGAGCAAACAGGAUUAUAUACCUUGUAGACC
rnacentral:rRNA from 1 species